rnacentral:rRNA from 1 species
GCUCAUCUCAUCCUGGGGCUGUAGCCGGUCCCAAGGGUAUGGCUGUUCGCCAUUUAAAGAGGUACGUGAGCUGGGUUUAAAACGUCGUGAGACAGUUUGGUCCCUAUCUGCCGUGGGCGUUGGAAUCUUGACGGGGGCUGCUCCUAGUACGAGAGGACCGGAGUGGACGUACCGCUGGUGUACCUGUUGUCUCGCCAGAGGCAUCGCAGGGUAGCUAUGUACGGAAGAGAUAACCGCUGAAAGCAUCUAAGCGGGAAACUCGCCUGAAGAUGAGGAUUCCCUGGAGCCUUGAGCUCCUUGAAGGGUCGUUCGAGACCAGGACGUUGAUAGGCUGGGUGUGGAAGCGCAGUAAUGCGUUAAGCUAACCAGUACUAAUUGCCCGUAAGGCUUGAUCCUAUAACCAGUGUGUUUC